CCGCGCUCCGCCGCCAUGGCGCGGGUGGGCGAGCAGCGAGCGGGCCCGGCGGAGCCACCGCCCAGCGCCGCCGCAGAUUUCUUUCCUGAAUAGAAGGCUGCACCUCUGCCCCGUACCUCCAUGUCCAGCCUGUGAUCCUGGAAACAGUGACUGCCCAAGGAGACUCUUGGAGAGCGUGUAGGGAGGAGUGGGCUCAAAGCCAUUGGGAGAUGGCACGUUGUCCCAUGUACGGCUAGCAAAACCCAUUUGACAGUGACACAGCAUGAUAAAAUCACACCCAAUGAAACACACACUACUGGAUUCCAGAGAACCAUUCCUGACAGAUCACAUUCUGAUACAAGACAGACUGUCCAGUGAGACCAAGGAGAUAAGGGUCAGCCCCAAAGUGUGGAUGUGACAGCUUGGUCAGAGAGUGAGAAAACAAGGUAAGUUUUCUCACAGCACACUCCUGAAACUUUUAGGGAGUUAUAGAGAAACAAUGAUAGCUUGUUAUUGUAAACAACCUGCAGGUGGUGUUUUUCUAGUCUUUGUUUUUCUGUUCUUCUCAAGGAUUGUUAGUGAGAAAAGUGUUUUUGUUAAUUAGCCAAUCAGGUAGAAUGUGUCGAGUCAGUCUAUAAAGAGGAGAUUUUUUGGC